GCGGGCGUAGUUUAGUGGUAAAAUACGACACUUCCAAUGUUGUGUCGCGAGUUCGAUUCUCGCCGCCCGCA
rfam:Candidatus Kaiserbacteria bacterium RIFCSPHIGHO2_01_FTLL_53_29 rifcsphigho2_01_scaffold_90, whole genome shotgun sequence.